GUCCUGCUGGUGUCUGAGUGUCUGUCUGAGGGACAGGUGAAGGUGUCCUGCUCCUCUGAGGGAGGGGACAGUCCUCAGUACAGCUGGACUCUGGAUGGAAACACACUGACAGACUCUGAGCUCCUCUCUGGAACCACUGAGACAAACAUCAUCAUCCUGAAACAAAACACAGGACGAUGAAACGAUAUUGACAACCUGCGGCUUCAUUUUCAUUAACUGCACUUCUUGUGGGAUGCAAAUAUCAAAGUGGGUGUUUAAAGAAAAUAACACUCUGUGUAUUGAACCAACAACUGUUCUUACAACUGUGGAUCCCUCUCUGCUCAGAUGUGCUCUGAUGGCUGUUGUGGCCGUAGUUUCAUUUGUUGGGAUUGGUCUCUACUUCAAAUGGAAGAAGACAAAAUACAAGAAAGUUGAAGCGUCUGCUGCAGCACAAAGAACAGAGUAUCCAGAGGAAGUUUUCUGAUCAAUGACCAUGUUUUAAGAUGUGUCUUGAUAGUUAAAUACAAAUAUUAGUUG